GACGAACGCUGGCGGCGUGCUUAACACAUGCAAGUCGAACGAAGUGGCGAACGGGUGAGUAACGCGUAAUCAACCUGCCCUUCAGAGGGGGACAACAGUUGGAAACGACUGCUAAUACCGCAUACUGAAGGAGGGGCUUGCGUCUGAUUAGCUAGUUGGAGGGGUAACGGCCCACCAGGGCGAUGAUCAGUAGCCGGUCUGAGGGGGUGAACGGGCACAUUGGGACUGAGACACGGCCCAGAAUCCGUAGGGAGGCAGCAGGGGGGAAUCUUCCGAAAUGGAGGAAAGUCGUACGGAGCAACGCCGCGGGAGUGAUGACGGCCUUCGGGUUGUAAAGCUCUGUUAAUCGGGACGCGGUACCGGAAUAGAAAGCCACGGCUAACUACGUGCCAGCAGCCGCGGUAAUUC
rnacentral:rRNA from 1 species